CCCUUAGAUGUUCUGGGCCGCACGCGCGCUACACUGAUGCAUUCAACGAGUCCAACCUUGACCGAGAGGUCCGGGUAAUCUUUGAAACUGCAUCGUGAUGGGGCUAGAUUAUUGCAAUUAUUAAUCUUCAACGAGGAAUGCCUAGUAAGCGUGAUUCAUCAAAUCGCGUUGAUUACGUCCCUGCCCUUUGUACACACCGCCCGUCGCUCCUACCGAUUGAGUGUGUUGGUGAGGAGUUUGGAUUGGCCUCGGAAGGUGGUUCGCCACCGUCCGUAGCUGAGAAGUUCUCCAAACCGCCCCACUUAGAGGAAGGAGAAGUCGUAUCA
rnacentral:rRNA from 1 species